rfam:Arabidopsis thaliana chromosome 1, complete sequence.
UCCGAUGUCGUCCAGCGGUUAGGAUAUUUGGCUUUCACCCAGGAGACCCGGGUUCGAUUCUUGGAAUGGGAA